CGGUGAAUAGCGCAGCUUGGUAGCGCAUCUGGUUUGGGACCAGAGGGUCGGGGGUUCAAAUCCCUCUUCACCGACCA
rnacentral:tRNA from 2 species